AUACAAAAUUACGGACGGACGGACACGCCCAGCUCUAUUUGUUAAAAGAUCCUGAUCUUCUGAUCAUGUCUCAGUGUCAGUUCAUGUCAAGAACAUUUUUUUUGAAGAUGAAGUGUUCAAGUGAUCAUGAAGUGAUCGAAGGAAGUUUAUCUUAUAAUAUUGGCAAAUAUGCACAAUAAAAAUGUUUUACCAAAUAGGGACAACGAUAUCGAUGAAGUACUUACAGACUGACGAAUGGGCCGCGCAGUGCCGGCAUAUCCCGCCGUCGGUUGAGCGGCGGCGACAGCGACAGCGAGAGGAAGUCCUGCUGGGCCUUGUCCUCGUCGACGAUGCUGGUCGGGGUGCUGUAGAUGCGCGUAGUUGGCAGAUAGCCAAUCUGCUGCAGAAAGUCGUCGCGGUAGGAGAGCUUGGUGGUGGACUGAGAGGAGGUCAGCGGCAGGGACAGCGGGGAUCCAUAGAGCGGAGCCAGUGGCAGGGCCGCUGUCAUCGAGGCCAGCGACAGAGGCUGCUGGUAGAGUCCUCCUGCACCGCUGCCAGAUCCCGGUCCCGAUCCCACACCGGAACCUGAUCCCGCAGCUGUGCCGUUCCCAUGGUGGUGUAGGUGGAGGUGGUGCGGCGUGGUGGCCGCAGGCUGAGUACCGUGAAAAUGCGGAUAGGGAAUGCCGUGGGUGUAGGCUGGAGCGCGCGACAAGUACGGCGUAUUGAUGAUCUUGUCGUCGAAGCUGCGACGGAAACUAAAGCCCUUCAGUGAGUUGCUGUAGUUUCGGUGAGAAAGCGGCGAGCUGCCCAGGUCAAUGCUGGCCGCCGGGCCCAGGAUCCCGGCAGUUAGACCGCAUCCUGAGGAGGCGGUAACGCCGCUGGCCGUCGCCGUGGCGCUACCCAGCAUACUCAGCGCAGGUGAGGUGCGCAGCUGAGGGCUGCCGCCCACUCCUCCGCCUGCACCGGAGGCCGUGGUGGUCGAGGUGGAGAGUGGCGGCGAGAUGGCACUCAAAGUGGAGAUGCCGCUGUCACUACUACAUAUGCCGGCCGGCAGUGACGUGUGGGUGGGCGAGAUGAGGUGUGGGUGGUGGUGUUUGCCAUUUGCGGCACCGAUGAGGCCGGCCAUGCCGCUACUGGGCAGUACGGGAGCCAGGAUGCCUCCCGGGAUGAGUUUCCUGAUCUGCGCGGGGCUGGUCCUCGCCCUGUCCUAAUGAAUGCUGGGAAGCUAGAAGCAGCUUCCUCGCGUCUUUGUCCUCAUCGUUGGCCUGCGCCCUUUGUUCCUGGUGAGGACUUCGUAUAUCAUUCCUUGUGCGUAGGAAAAUCAAUGAAGGGACGCGCUUAAAACAUGCAUUUUAAGCAGCGCUUUUCUCGCUUUGUAACCCAAAUUGCGCAUGAAAAAAGUAAGGCGAAAAUCCACACACGCACGCACACACUGCCACGAACUGGUUCGCGAUAGAAGAGGGUUUUUCCACGGUCUGCCCUCAAUUGGGCCUAUUGGAUUCCCUUUCGCCUUUCUUCGAUGCUUUUGGCCAGGUACGUGCCCGUAGUCUAGUUAAUAGCGGAAUUGAUUUAUCCUCGACAAAUAAAGCGAACACAUCACA
ensembl:ncRNA asRNA:CR45960 antisense RNA:CR45960